GCUAGCAGCUCUGUAGGUGGACAGUUUCAUUUUUGGGCUAAUGUAAAAAUUCUUGCUGAUGUUUCCUGUUGUUUAGAAGUUGAUGCUGCUCACAGAUAAACAUGACUAUUUUCAGCCUUUAGUCAGCUUUUGCUGCCAGAAUUUUCCUGAUGUGAUGAAACGCUGAAAACAUCUGGAGUUGGUGAAGACCAGUGUUGGAUCAGAGAUGGAGAAGGCCUUACCAGUGCAGCUGCUGGAAAUGUUGAACAAUUUGGGAGAGGAGGAGCUGAAGCUUUUCCACUUUUACCUGAAGUAUGAACCUGGAGGUGAUUUCCCAACCAUCUAUAAGUGCCAGCUGGAGAACGCAGACAGACUGAAAACAGUAGAUGUGAUGAUUAAGGCAUAUUCAGACCGUGUGAUGGAGGUGGCAAGGUUGAUUUUAGAGAAGAUGAAUGAAGGAAGUCCCUCAGCCCAGGCAGCUUCAUCACUUUCAUCAGAAGUUGGGGCUGGAUCUAAGAGACUAAGGGACGGUUCAGUAGGAUGGCAGACUCCCCAGGUGGAGCACCUUCAAGCACCCCGCCCAGGGACUCCAAGAAGACCGGUCCCCCAGGUGGAGGUGGAUUCAGGGGUGGAGUCUGUCCAGCUACCCUGCAAAACCACACUUCACCUGCCUCAAGAAGCCAAAGUUGAGUGGACAGACAGAAACCACAUGAAGGUCCACGUGUAUGAGAACAGAUUUGACCAGCCUGAAGAACAGGAUGGUCGUUACAGGGACCGAACGAAGAUGAAUGAAGACCUGCUGAAAACUGGAGACCUCAGUCUGACCCUGAAAUACCCCACAGAUGGAGACAACCACACCUACACUUGCACCGUCUACAGCAGGGAGGGAAACAUCCUGAUGAAGAAACAAGUGGAGCUGAAAGUCAGAGACUGUCAGGUGGAGGUGAAGGAGGGGGCGGAGUCUGUCCAGCUGCCCUUCAAGGCCACACACAACCUGCCCGAAAAUGCUACAAUAGUGUGGGAACGUACUGAAUCUAAACGAUCGAUGAUGGUCCACGUGUAUGAGAACGGCUCCGACGAGCCUCACAGACAGGACCAGGUUUACAGAGACCGAACGAAGAUGAAUGAAGACCUGCUGAAAACUGGAGACCUCAGUCUGACCCUGAAACACCCCACAGAGAGAGACAGUGGAAGAUACAUCUGUGGAGUCUACAGCAGGACGAUCUACAGACAGAAUGCUGUGCUGCUCAAAGUCACAGGGAGAGUUCAGGUCCAGGAUCAAACAGGGGACAUCAGGAACAGAAGCAGCUCCAUUGAUCCGACUCCUCUGAUGGCUGAUCAAUCAGUUUGAUCUGUGUGUUCUUUGAUUAUUGAUCAGUGAUGUCAGAGUGGAGUCAGUGUGAUGUUGUUGUUGUGUGUUUGAGACUUUUAGUGUCCAUGAAGGUCUCUGCUGCCGUAGAUCCUCUGAACUGUGACAGAGGUCUCACUCUGGAGGAAACUCUCAGCACUUUCCAGCAGCUCCUCCAUCAUGGAGGACGUUCCCUCACUGUAACAGGUGGAGGAGAGAGGAGAGGAAGCACAGGUGGAUCCUCUGAGGAAGAGGAGCGUUCCUACAAACCACAUGAGUGUAACAGUUGUAUGUAUUAAAGUAUGUUGAGCUGAUGUAUUUAGAGCCAUGAAUGUUUCUCUCUGUCCGAUUAGAUCACCAUGUUAACUGAUGCUGACUAUCACCUGUUGUGGAGACAUUUUGGAUUUUUUUCACUUGCAGAUUUAAGGCAGGUUUAAGAACUGUUGUUUUUGUAAAGUGAAAUAAGACUGAUGCGCCUCCAUAAGACACUGUAGAGGGUUUCUGGGGCAGUGACAUGAACACUUUGUCGUUAUUUAUACUGCCAUGUUUUCCUGUAACACAAACCACAGCACGCUGAAUAUGAAUAAACUGCAUCUGUG
ensembl:lncRNA